GGCCCUCUGGGUCCAACCUCCCACCCGUGUCUAUCGUACCUUGUUGCUUCGGCGGGCCCGCCGUUUCGACGGCCGCCGGGGAGGCCUUGCGCCCCCGGGCCCGCGCCCGCCGAAGACCCCAACAUGAACGCUGUUCUGAAAGUAUGCAGUCUGAGUUGAUUAUCGUAAUCAGUUAAAACUUUCAACAACGGAUCUCUUGGUUCCGGCAUCGAUGAAGAACGCAGCGAAAUGCGAUAAGUAAUGUGAAUUGCAGAAUUCAGUGAAUCAUCGAGUCUUUGAACGCACAUUGCGCCCCCUGGUAUUCCGGGGGGCAUGCCUGUCCGAGCGUCAUUGCUGCCCUCAAGCACGGCUUGUGUGUUGGGCCCCCGUCCCCCUCUCCCGGGGGACGGGCCCGAAAGGCAGCGGCGGCACCGCGUCCGGUCCUCGAGCGUAUGGGGCUUUGUCACCUGCUCUGUAGGCCCGGCCGGCGCCAGCCGACACCCAACUUUAUUUUUCUAAGGUUGACCUCGGAUCAGGUAGGGAUACCCGCUGAACUUAAGCAUAUCAAUAAGCGGAGGAAAAGAAACCAACAGGGAUUGCCUCAGUAACGGCGAGUGAAGCGGCAAGAGCUCAAAUUUGAAAGCUGGCCCCUUCGGGGUCCGCGUUGUAAUUUGCAGAGGAUGCUUCGGGUGCAGCCCCCGUCUAAGUGCCCUGGAACGGGCCGUCAUAGAGGGUGAGAAUCCCGUCUGGGACGGGGUGUCUGCGUCCGUGUGAAGCUCCUUCGACGAGUCGAGUUGUUUGGGAAUGCAGCUCUAAAUGGGUGGUAAAUUUCAUCUAAAGCUAAAUACUGGCCGGAGACCGAUAGCGCACAAGUAGAGUGAUCGAAAGAUGAAAAGCACUUUGAAAAGAGAGUUAAACAGCACGUGAAAUUGUUGAAAGGGAAGCGUUUGCGACCAGACUCGCCCGCGGGGUUCAGCCGGCAUUCGUGCCGGUGUACUUCCCCGUGGGCGGGCCAGCGUCGGUUUGGGCGGCCGGUCAAAGGCCCUCGGAAUGUAUCACCUCUCGGGGUGUCUUAUAGCCGAGGGUGCAAUGCGGCCUGCCUGGACCGA
rnacentral:rRNA from 1 species